ensembl:lncRNA
UCAUGGUCCCUUGCUCUUUUUAAGAAAUCUCUCUUUUCCUGAUUGCUAACUGUAAUCCUGUCUUCUAUACCUGAUAUUCUGUGCUUGCAUUGGCUCAUUCUGCUGCAUAUACUUUCAGUGGAGUUUUUAAUCUCCUGGAUAUCUGUUUGAAUCUGUUUCAUGGAUUCUAUUUCUUUCCUGUGCUGGGUGUUCAUGGCUUCCAUCAUGUUCCUGAGGUCCUCUAUUUUACUUUUUUAUCUGUAUCUUUCAUUGUGGUCACCAUCUCUGUAGUUAGUUAUCUGGGAAGUUAUUUCUGCUUUAAUUUUUUCUAGAACCUCAUUUAUCUGCUUUGGUACUUCUGCUGUUACCACUUCAGAGAGUCCAGGUGGUGGCUUUCGGAUUGUUCCACUUCAUUGCUCCUGGGUUUGCCUUUGGUCUUCCUGCCCACCCGUCUUUAUCAGAGCAGGUGCAGCAUGAUGAGGCUUCCUGCCAACACUUUGCCAGUCCUGGAGAUACAGGUGGUGUUUUAUGAAACCUGGACUUUUCCUCUCCCCAACUCCUGUAGUUUAUUUGCACAGUAAGUUUUUUCCACAAAGAGCCUCCUUGACCUCCUUGGAAGUUCUGUGAACUUGGCUUCUUCCAUCCCUGGGCAUUGUUUCUGUUUUGGGUUAGAUUAGAUUAAUUCCACUCUGACUUUUGAAGGGAG